CCAAUAGCGUAUAUUAAAGUUGUUGCCGUUAAAAAGCUCGUAGUUGAACUUCAGGCCUGGCUGGACGGUCCGCCUUCCGGGCGAGUACUGUCUGUGGUCGGGUCCUACCUUCUGGCGAAGCGUCAUGGCCUUAACCGGCCGUGGCGGGGAACCAGGACUUUUACUGUGAAAAAAUUAGAGUGUUCAAAGCAGGCAAUUCGCUUGGAUACAUUAGCAUGGAAUAAUGGAAUAGGACAAUGGUUCUAUUUGUUGGUUUCUAGGACUGUUGUAAUGAUUAAUAGGGAUAGUUGGGGGCAUUAGUAUUAAAUUGUCAGAGGUGAAAUUCUUGGAUUUAUUGAAGACUAACUACUGCGAAAGCAUUUGCCAAGGAUGUUUUCAUUAAUCAAGAACGAAAGUUAGGGGAUCGAAGACGAUCAGAUACCGUCGUAGUCUUAACCAUAAACUAUGCCGACUAGGAAUCGGGCGAUGUUGACAAAAUGACGCGCUCGGCACCUCAUG
rnacentral:rRNA from 1 species